AAAGCGGUACGCGAGCUGGGUUCAGAACGUCGUGAGACAGUUCGGUCCCUAUCCGUCGUGGGCGUAGGAAAUUUGAGAGGAGCUGUCCUUAGUACGAGAGGACCGGGAUGGACAUACCGCUGGUGUACCAGUUGUCUUGCCAAAGGCAUCGCUGGGUAGCUAUGUAUGGACGGGAUAAGUGCUGAAAGCAUCUAAGCAUGAAGCCCCCCUCAAGAUGAGAUUUCCCAUUACGCAAGUAAGUAAGACCCCUGAAAGACGAUCAGGUAGAUAGGUUCGAGGUGGAAGUGCGGCGACGCAUGCAGCUGACGAAUACUAAUCGGUCGAGGACUUAACCACAUUU
rnacentral:rRNA from 1 species